rnacentral:lncRNA from 1 species
AGAGGCCAACACUCUGUAGCACUUACUACAGGCCAAGUGCUAUAUACGUGUUAACUCAUAAUCCCACAAUCACCCUCUAGAUAUAGGUGGGUAUAGAGAAGCAUGCCCCCAUUUCACAGAUGAGAAAACUGAGGCCCAGAGAGGUGAAGUAAUUUGCCCACGGUCACACAGCUUGUAUGGGAUAGAGAAGGGCAGGGCGUAUCACUGAACAAAAUGGAGGUCCCUUCACCCCAGAGUUGCAAACCCAGCCUCCCUCACUCCCACUACCCCUCUGGGGGGAAAGAGAUUCCUACAGGCGAAAUUGCUGUAUCAAAAGAUGAUGUAUGGUUCUAUUAUUGCUAGGGGCUGCCAAAAGGGAAAGAGACUGCCCAUUUCCCCACAUCCAUGCCAGAACUGCAUGUUCUUGUUUUUGCCACUCUGGGGAG